rnacentral:tRNA from 1 species
CCUGAUGGCUCAGUGGGUAAAGAAUCUGCCUGUGAUGCAAAAGACCUGGGUUCAAUCCCUGCGUCAGGA